UAGCUCAGUUGGUAGAGUGCUUGCCUCACAUGCACAAGACCCUGGGUUCAAUCCCCAG
rfam:Ictidomys tridecemlineatus contig099273, whole genome shotgun sequence.